rnacentral:rRNA from 1 species
UGACAGGAGGUGCAUGGUUGUCGUCAGCUCGUGUCGUGAGAUGUUGGGUUAAGUCCCGCAACGAGCGCAACCCUUAAGCUUAGUUGCCAGCAUUAAGUUGGGCACUCUAAGUUGACUGCCGGUGACAAACCGGAGGAAGGUGGGGAUGACGUCAAAUCAUCAUGCCCCUUAUGAUUUGGGCUACACACGUGCUACAAUGGACAAUACAAAGGGCAGCUAAACCGCGAGGUCAUGCAAAUCCCAUAAAGUUGUUCUCAGUUCGGAUUGUAGUCUGCAACUCGACUACAUGAAGCUGGAAUCGCUAGUAAUCGUAGAUCAGCAUGCUACGGUGAAUACGUUCCCGGGUCUUGUACACACCGCCCGUCACACCACGAGAGUCUGUAACACCCGAAGCCGGUGGAGUAACCAUUUAUGGAGCUAGCCGUCGAAGGUGGGACAAAUGAUUGGGGUGAAGUCGUAACAAGGUAGCCGUAUCGGAAGGUGCGGUUGGAUCACCUC